rnacentral:rRNA from 1 species
AACGAACGCUGGCGGCAGGCUUAACACAUGCAAGUCGAACGCAUCCUUCGGGGUGAGUGGCAGACGGGUGAGUAACGCGUGGGAACGUGCCCUUCAGUUCGGGAUAACCCAGGGAAACUUGGGCUAAUACCGGAUACGUGCGAGAGCAGAAAGAUUUAUCGCUGAAGGAUCGGCCCGCGUCCGAUUAGCUAGUUGGUGGGGUAAUGGCCCACCAAGGCGACGAUCAGUAGCUGGUCUGAGAGGAUGAUCAGCCACAUUGAGGCUGAGACACGGCCCAAACUCCUACGGGAGGCAGCAGUGGGGAAUAUUGGACAAUGGGCGCAAGCCUGAUCCAGCCAUGCCGCGUGAGUGAUGAAGGCCUUAGGGUUGUAAAGCUCUUUCGUCCGGGACGAUAAUGACGGUACCGGAAGAAGAAGCCCCGGCUAACUUCGUGCCAGCCGCCGCGGUAA